AAACUAAUCCCAAGUUCAAAUACAUAUUACAAGCCAAAGGGUUAAAAAAGAAAGAAGAAAUUUAACCUUGGCUGACCAAAUCGAAUCGCUGGAAGCGACACCGUGCCAAGCACGGGACACGAGGAGAGAUAGUGCCACGCUGCGUGCAUCGAGGUUCUUAAGUAUCAUCAACAUUAUGUCUCUACCCAAAACCUCAAGUGGGUCCUGCGAUAAUUCUUCUUCUUCGAUUUUUUCUUUUCUCUUCUCUCGCUUUCUCUUCUUCUUUCUCCUUUUCCUCUUCUUCCUCUUUUUCACCUCAAGUAAAACGUCCCCGUUUUGCAGUUUUUCUUCCAUUUCUUGCAGCUCCAUUCAGUGAUACUGAGACAGAGACAGCGAGAGAGUGACAGGAAGAGGAUGGGGAAUAGAGCUCGGCCUUCUUCAGGUGUGCUCAGCAGUGAUGAUGAAUGU
rnacentral:lncRNA from 1 species